UUCUAUUGGUCUAUCCAAUAU
rnacentral:piRNA from 1 species